AGGAUGAGAAUGCGCUGACAUAGUGAGGAGACGUCUGGGCGUCACAUUCUGCAUAGAGAAGUUUUAGCUGGAACAAGUCCUGGCGCAUUAGAGAAUACUAAGCAGCUUCAUGGAUAUUGGUUAUGAAUCUUACCAAAUUAGCAGGACCUGCCUUUAAGAGAAUUUGGCUGACGGCAUUUAACUGUUGUGGUCGGUAAUUUGCUGACUGGGUAUGAAGGCGACACCAGGAUGAUUAGCAAGAAGCUUGUGAGGGUUGCUAUGGCAUCGAGGGGAGUCAUUCAUAAAAUGAUGGCAGAUGUGAAAGAAGGAUCUAUUUACAAGUAUUGUACCUAAUCACAAGAACUCAAAGAUUUUGAAAAAGACAGAGGUAGAUUUAUAUCUAGAGAUGAAGACAAAA